CUGGUCUACAGAGCGAGUGCCAGGAUAGGCUCCAAAGUUACAGAGGAACUUUACCUCAGAAAAAAAAAAAGAGUUCCAAGAGUCUGGAACUCAGGACUCGGAGGAUGUGUUGGACUGACUGAUGCUACAGAGCGUUGGGAAAACUGCAAAGUGGCUUCAGCUGCUGCCAACGAAGGCACUGCAAAUGCCAGGUCGAAGAAGUGUUGCUAGGGCGACGCUACAGGAACAGGAAGCCACUAGGAAUCAGCAAGUCCCCUCUUCCUGCGGCUGCUUUCCCAUCGUCUGCCCUGUACUCUUCCGGGCAGCACACAUCAGGAAGCGGCUGUGGUCUUCCGAGCCAGCUCCGGCGUCACACACACGGCAUGGAAGGCGGAUGUGGCAUUAAGAGGCAAUAGCUUCGCUAACAGAAAGACAGACUAACACAAGUGAAGGAAUGCUCAAACUUCCAGAGCUAAAGGAUACAGUUGAAAGGGCCAGAGAAGUGAGCCUGCUGGAAGAAAGGCCCCGCUUAAAACCACAGGGCCCCUUGGGGGCUGCAGAGAUGGUUCAGCAGUGAAGAACACCGGACUGCACUUCCAGAGGACCACGGUUCAAUUCCCAACACCAACAGCCUGUGACUCCAGCUCUGUCUGGGCCCAUCGGAAUGACUCCACUUCAUCUUGACUUAAGGUCAGAGAGUUCAAGCCCACAAUUGCUCUCUCAAGGUUAAACAACAGAAUGUUUGGCCUGAGCCAGACACGACCAAUCCAUUAUGGACAAGAGGGAGAUCACACAGCUCCCUCCUGGCACUGGGCUGAGGUGUGCCUUCCUGUGGUUGUACUGGAAAGAGAGUCACUUGCACAGAAUCCAGGCUCUGGAUGCAAGGAAUAGCUGUCUCGUGAGCAACCAACCCGUUUCUCGAUGUAAAACAGGAGUCAGGUGAGGGUGGUAGCCGGUGUACCGACAGAAUUAAACAUUUCUUUCUUAAACUGUACUUCAGUAAAGUUUAGCCCAGUGAAGACACUUGUGGAAGAGGCAGGCACUAGGGAACCACCCUGCUGCAGUUACUUCCUCUGAGUGAAAUAUUCCUUCCAAGGAGAGAAGGUCACAAGACCCCAAGAGUAAACAAAACUCCCAAGGCUCAAGAAGCACAGACAAUCACACAAUUCACUAAACCCCUCCCCAAGGAUAUACAAACUUUAAAGUAAUUGACAAGAGGAGACUCUCGGGCUUGCUGAGCUACCUGGAAGCUGCACAGGGAACCCAAAGGAUACAACUUUCACGAGUUGUCACUCAUGCUGGGGUAGGAUCCUCAAUGAUGCAGCUGCCUUUGAGUCACCCCUGCCCUUGUAACUAAUUCCAAUAAACUCGAUGGUUCACUAUACCUUGGGUGCCCUGUCUGGGGAGAAUAAACCUUUGCUCAUGUCUCUAGGUCCUCUCCAUCAUCCCCUUU
rnacentral:lncRNA from 1 species